AUAUAAUCAGAUAACCCCAAAACAAAUCAGACUAAUAUCAAGAGCAAAACAGAGGCGGCUGAGUCUCAAUUGGGAAUUAGGGUUCUCCAAAUUUUUCUUCUUCUUCUCACUUUGAUUCAUACUGGUAAGGAUUCGAUUUCGUGUAUAAGCGAUUUUUACUUGUUGUAUAUCAUGAUUCGAGUUGUGGUGGUGAUGGGAUCGGCUCUCCGGGUAUGGCGGCGACGCCGCUGGGCGCUGGUAUUGCAGAGAUUGGGACAGAGUUUCCGAUGUUGUCGCAGGGGUUGGAUUGAGUAAGUGCUCAGUUGGAUGUGGUCGAUUGGAGGAGGUCGACGGUGUGUGUAGGGAAGCCGCGCCGCUUGUUGAGAAAGGAAGCAGAGGAGGUGCUGUUUGGGUCAGUGACAACUUCGUCGGAAUUGAGUUGUAACUGGUGGUGGGUUCGAGUAACCGGACAGAGAGAGUCGCAUGUGGUGUUUUGAUUGACUAUGGUGGCUUCGUGGUUGCAGCGCGGUAGCAGCCAUGUGUGGUGGCGGCGACGGAAAGUAGUGGCGCUGCUUUUGAUUCCCAGUGGCUGCGGGGAAGAGAAAGAUGAAGUCGAAGGGGACGACUGCUUAGUGGUGUGAUGAUGGAGGAAAUUUGCUUACGGCUGUGAUUGCAACAACUGUUUUGUUACAGGCGGCUGGUUUUUGACUCAGCAGUUGGUUAUAAUCUGGUGGUGUUAAGGAUUUCGGAAUGGGGCUGAUUUGUGUGGCUGUUGGUGAGCUUAAGGAAGGUGGGUGUUAUGGGGGCAGGUGUGCCUGGGGUUGUUGAGUAGUUCCAUUGAUAGUUGUUUGACAGGGUAGGUUGGGGAAAUUAGGGAAGGGAAUUGGUGUUUCGCUGGUGUGUAGGAUUAGAUUGUGAUUUCUGGGUGUUCCAAUUAGUUAUGUGCAGGUUUGUUUUUGAUGUUUCUGGUGACUAUGGUUGGCUGAUCAGGAUUGAAGCAAUGAAAAGAAUAAGAAUCAGGUGGUAAGUGUAGUACAGUAAGGAGAUGGGAAAGGAAAUGGUGGUUUGGUGGCAGAUGUUGCCGCCUAUACAGGAGGGUUGUACAAGUUGUUUGAUUGAGUAAUGAAAGAUAUAUAUAGGACAUUGAUUUUGAAGUUUGAUAAGGUACUGAGGCAGAGUUAAUGCAGAAGAGUAUUUGUGGCUAUGUUGGACAAUGGUGUGGCUUGGUUUAUUGUUGGCAGGGCUGUUGUUCAGCCGACUGUAGUGGCUGCGCUGAUUGUAGAAUCAGCGACAGAGAGGGAGAGUGAAUAAAGAAGAUGGGGAAUAGGGUUGUGUAGUUGUUGCAGUAACGAGAGAGGGAGAUGAGGCUAUUGUACAGGUGUCUCGGGGAGGGAUGAGACGGAGAAUGGUGGUUUUGACAGGAGGCUUACACCGUCGAAAGUAUAAUAAUGUUGGAUAUGUUUGGCGUGGUAGAGAAGAGCAGGGCUGCAAAGUUUUUUGGAAAUUAGAAAUGAAAUAAAUAUUGAUUAAAUAUUAAUUAUUAAUUGAUAUUAGGAUUAUUAAUGUUAUUAUAGGUCAAUGCACUUAGUAUAGAAGCAUCAUUUUUUCCAAGGCACACAAGUGUUGCCAAGGCAAGCAUUUUAGUACGUCAAAUAGGAUGCAUUUCAUUGGUGAGUCUUGUGAGGUGGGGCACAAGUGUGCCUUACUCUUAUUUGGUUAAGUUGAGGUCAAUAAAGUGUAAUUAGGAAGUGUUGGUCUUAGACCUUAUGUGUUACUUGACUAAUUGCUUAAGUGACUUAGGUAUAAUUAGAGACUAUUAAGUGAUAAUAGCUAAUUGAUAAAAUGCCAUGCCUUACUUGUUAUGUGCAUUACUUGAGGAGUAUGUGAUUUGUUAUUAAUUAAGCUUAAGUGUAUAUAUUUAUAUAUAUAUGUGUAUACACACACACACACACACACACACACACACACACGAAAAGGUAGUUAGCAUUGUGGUGACGAGGAUACUAUUAAUUAUAGGUGCAAGUACGAGGCCAGGCAAGGAACCUCUAGAAGAUUCAGUACAAGUGUUAAGUAAGCUUAGUCCAGUGAAACCCGAGGAUGGCUCGAUUCAAGCAAACUGCCCGUAAGACCACCUCAGGAUCGGGUAUUGCCUACCGCCGUAUGAUGGAGCAGGUUGGGAACUCAUAGUUCCCUAACUUUAUCUUUUAAGACUUUUGGGGAUUUUAAAACUUGUAGUAAUAACUUUGAAUUUUAUUUUGGAUUGUAAUAACUUUAGAUGUUGUUCAUACUCAUUCCUGGUGAUUCCGGGGAUGUGGAUUUAGACUUGUAGCUUUAAUAUUUUAUAAUUCUGUAGUUUAAUUAUUUAUCGAAUUAUGCAUGCUUAGUCGGUUA